CAGAGAACACUACAAACUGAUGUCCUGUGUUUGCAGAGCUGGAGAGCUGGAGGGGCUGGGGCAGCAGCUGCCUUCCCACCAUGCACAGCGACAGCGCUUCAUCCUUGCCCUGGGAGGCCGUUUCCCAGGAUGAGAGGAUAAUUCACUCGCUAUAGCCCAUUCAAUCUUCAGCCUCU
rnacentral:sRNA from 1 species